UCUCAUGAGGCUAUUUUUUCUCAAUUGCAAUCCACUCUUAUUGGUAAUAAAGGUAUUUUUGAUCCAUCUGUAAAAGAAUUGCCUUUGCUAGUUCAGUCUACUUCUAGUACUAGUACCAUGGGUUCUGAGUCAGGAGUGGCUCAAAAGUUACCCUCUUCUUCUCUAUAAAAAUGUUAGUGUGGAGCUGCAAGGGGGCAGCUAAACCCCUUUUGCUAACUAUGUCAAAACUUUAUUAAGGUUGCAUAAUCCUGACUUGUCAUAUUUCCUAAAAACUAGGCUCCAAGCCUAU
rnacentral:lncRNA from 1 species